rnacentral:sRNA from 1 species
GAGGCAUAGCGGGAUUCUGGAAAUGGCAGCCUGGCUAAGGAGAGUGAAGAGAAGGGGUUUAAACAGAAACACACCUUAACAUUCAAGACUUGGAGUUGCCCUAGUGUCCUCCUCAGUGUCAGGCCCUUGUAGGCUUUGGGCAGGCCCUCUCCUCUCCUGGCGUGCCUCCCUCUCCUCAGGCUUCCUCUGCUUCCCAAGAUGAUCUAAACUAACAGUCUGGGUGGAGGGGCUAAAUAAUUUUAUCCUCCUCACCUCACCCCAACCCUCCCCUAGGUAAAAGAUGAGAAAAAUAUUCAAGAGGUAUUUGACCUGAGUGACUAUGAGAAGUGUGAAGAGCUCCGGAAGUCCAAGAGCAGGAGCAAGAAAAAUCAUAGCAAGUUUACUCUUGCCCACUCCAAACAGCCCGGUAACACGGCACCCAACCUGAUCUUCCUGGCAGUGAGUCCAGAAGAGAAGGAAUCGUGGAUCAAUGCCCUCAACUCUGCCAUCACCCGAGCCAAGAACCGUAUCUUGGAUGAGGUCAGGGGGCUCACUGUGGGGAGAGGGAGGGACGCUGGGGCAGAGGGAGCAGCUGUGACCCACUGAAGGGGGAGGAUUGUGCAGGCCCCAUUUACUCACUCCCCCACCAGCUCUACUUCUUUACCUCCCUUUUAAAAGCCCUGAUCUCUUUCUGCCUUCUCUCCAAGUCUCAUCUGACAC